rnacentral:rRNA from 1 species
UUGCAGAAUUUCGCGAAUCAUCGAGUUUUUGAACGCAAGUUGCGCCCGAGGCUUGACCAAGGGCAUCUCUGCCAGAGCGUCACCGCGACA